UAUAUAUAUAUUACAUCGUAGACUCAAAACUUAGUAAAACCUUACGAAGUGUAGUGUCUAAUUUACAGCGAUUAUUAUCAACUGGCUCUGUCUGGUGUGUAGCCUACACGUUAUUUCUCUCGACCCCAAUCUCAGAUCAAGCUGAAAUUUUGCACCUGACAAAACAAGAAUCAAUAAAAAUAUAAACUAGUUACUUAUUUUGUUUGGUAUCUCAAACAAAGUAAAGAGAUUGUACUUGACUUCAUCAUACAGACAAAGACAGGAAAAAAAAAAUAUUUCAGUAGCAGAGCUCGGGUUUGGCGAAUGGACCGAUCGCCUCAAACCUUUUCCCACUUUUCUAAGGACGCUAACUGUAAAGGACUUGGCUAACAAGAAAUGAGAGGCGUGGAGUGCUGAGUUAAG